GGCGGACGGGUGAGUAACGCGUGGGUAACCUGCCUCAGUACAGGGGGAUAACAGUUGGAAACGACUGACUAAGACCGCAUAACCCGCUAGUGUCGCGAUGACACGGACGGAAAAUAUUUAUAGGUAUGAGAUGGGCCCGCGUCUGAUUAGCUAGUUGGUAAGGUAACGGCUUACCAAGGCGACGAUCAGUAGCCGACUUGAGAGAGUGAUCGGCCACAUUGGGACUGAGACACGGCCCAAACUCCUACGGGAGGCAGCAGUGGGGAAUAUUGGACAAUGGGGGAAACCCUGAUCCAGCGACGCCCGCGUGAGUGAAGAAGUAUUUCGGUAUGUAAAGCUCUAUCAGCAGGGAAGAUAAUGACAGUACCUGACUAAGAAGCCCCGGCUAACUACGUGCCAGCAGCAGC
rnacentral:rRNA from 1 species